rnacentral:lncRNA from 1 species
GUAGACUUAGGGAUGGAAACAGAGGACAAAGAAGAUAGAAAAGCAUAAUAGGGUAAUGAAAAACGAUGAUAACUCAAACCGAUAUAAUGGGGAUUAGGAUUAAGGGUGGUCUGUGUACAUUUUCGAAGUGCAAUCGGAAGAGACAAGUCCGCAGUAGGAGCAGGGUCAGGUGCAGGACUCCGUGUACCUUUUCGAAGUGCAAUCGGAAGAGACAAGUCUGCAGUAGGAGCAGGGUCAGGUGCAGGACGUGAAUCAGCCGGGCCGGAUACUGGGCGAGGACGACGAUGAUAUGUCAAGAGUGGAGUUUCUGUGGCAGGAAGUCUAGGAGGAGCCACACUAGACUCUCAAAUGGUUGGAAUGGGUAAGACUUCUGUAGCGGAAGGUGAAGGAGGAGCUAUAGUAGACUCCCUAAACGCCGUAUAGGUAAAACCUCAGAUAUAUCAGAAUGGUCAGAAGAGGUAAAGAAAGUUUGACUCAAAAAAUGUGACAUCAGCUGACAUAAGGUACCUAUGAAGAUCAGGUGAAUAACAACGAUAGCCCUUCUGAACACGAGAAUAACCAAGGAAGACACACUUGAGAGCACGAGUAGCUAACUUAUCUUUCCCGAGGGCUAAGUUAUGAACGAAACAAGUGCUCCCAAAAACACGAGGGGGAACAGAGUAUAAGGGUGACUGGGGAAGCAAUACCUCAUAUGGAAUCUGAUUCUGGAUUAGAGAUGAAGGCAUCUGAUUAACCAAAUAGCAAGAAGUGAGAACUGCAUCGCCCCAAAAACGCAGCAAAACAUGAGAUUCAAUGACAAGUGUGCGAGCAGUCUCAAUAAUGUGCCUAUUUUUUCUCUCUGCAACCCCAUUUUGCCGAGGGGUA